rnacentral:rRNA from 1 species
CAGCAGCCGCGGUAAUACGUAGGGUGCGAGCGUUAAUCGGAAUUACUGGGCGUAAAGCGUGCGCAGGCGGUUUUGUAAGACAGGCGUGAAAUCCCCAGGCUCAACCUGGGAAUGGCGCUUGUGACUGCAAAGCUAGAGUGCGGCAGAGGGGGAUGGAAUUCCGCGUGUAGCAGUGAAAUGCGUAGAUAUGCGGAGGAACACCGAUGGCGAAGGCAAUCCCCUGGGCCUGCACUGACGCUCAUGCACGAAAGCGUGGGGAGCAAACAGGAUUAGAUACCCCUGUAGUCCCUGUCUCUUAUAC